rnacentral:rRNA from 1 species
UCGGGAAUUUUGGACAAUGGGCGCAAGCCUGAUCCAGCCAUGCCGCGUGCGGGAAGAAGGCCUUCGGGUUGUAAACCGCUUUUGUCAGGGAAGAAACGCUCUGGGCUAAUACCCUGGGGUAAUGACGGUACCUGAAGAAUAAGCACCGGCUAACUACGUGCCAGCAGCCGCGGUAAUACGUAGGGUGCAAGCGUUAAUCGGAAUUACUGGGCGUAAAGCGUGCGCAGGCGGUUAUGCAGGACAGAUGUGAAAUCCCCGGGCUCAACCUGGGAACUGCAUUUGUGACUGUAUAGCUAGAGUACGGUAGAGGGGGGAUGGAAUUCCGCGUGUAGCAGUGAAAUGCGUAGAUAUGCGGAGGAACACCGAUGGCGAAGGCAAUCCCCUGGACCUGUACUGACGCUCAUGCACGAAAGCGUGGGGAGCAAACAGGAUUAGAUACCCAAGUAGUCCCUGAGCGGGCUGGCAAGGCGCAU